UUAGAGUUGGGUCAAGGUUUCCGUAGGUGAACCUGCGGAAGGAUCAUUGUCGAUGCCUCUCA
rnacentral:rRNA from 1 species